AAGCUCCUUAAAUACCCUCCACCCGAGCCCCAGUGGUCCCAAGAAAGCAUCUCUUCUAAACACAGUUCCCCAUUGGCUGGCACUGUCUGCACCAGCAAUCCUUGCUCUCUCAGGCAAUCGUCCCUGGCAUUUUCCCAUAAGUGGCCACUGCCAUUCUUCCUACAAUCUCUGCUCCAUAAACAAGCUUAAGAAAGUCAUUGAUUGGUCAUUGUGCAGACCUAUGAACUUUAUUCUCUUUACUGACCCAUCAUAUUGGUAUGUCAUGAAACUCAGUUUGCACAGCACUGGGGCAGCCACCAGUAACCAACUGCAAGGCGUCAGACUGGUACAGGUGUUAUAGUUACUGAUAAUAACAACUUAGUUAAGUGAUAGUGCCAAUUGAAUGGCUAGCUUGGUGCUUUCUGUUGCUUCCAAGUAGUUUGUGCCUGGGCCUUAGGACAGUUUUUAAUGAAGUGAUUUUGAUGGAGUGGCCCCUGGGACCCGCAGUGUGGAGAUGGGCAUUGCACCCUACCUCCUUCUACACUGUUUGCUUCUCUGUAUGAAGAGCCGGCAGUCUGAAAGCAUGGAUGUUGCCGAGGAGUUAGUGUUUCAGGGAGGAAAUGUACUUGGCCCAUCUUAAAUCUAUACUCAACAUUAGGACAGUUUGAGUAGGAUUAGGGGAGCAGUGAUCAUGGCCAGAAAAGGCUGGAUAAUUUGCUGUGAAGUCAGAAUGCUGAAGAGACUAACUCAGUGUGCUUCAGCAGGACUUUUAGUUCUGAAACCAGACAUGCAGUUUGACCUGCUUACCGUCAGUAUGAGAUUUCUCCCUCCCCUUUUGCUAAUGGCAGGGCAGCUGAAGUUGAUAAAGCUGGGUUAUAUGCUGAAAGUACAUUGUAUGAGCCUUUCCUUAGAACUUGGGAAUGCGCCGGGCAGUGCUGGCACACACCUUUAAUCCCAGCACUUGGGAGGCAGAGGCAGGUGGAUUUCUGAGUUUGAGGCCAGCCUGGUCUACAGAGUGAGUUUCAGGACAGCCAGGACUACAUAGAGAAACCCUGUCUUGGGGGGAGGGGUGGGAGACUAAACAAAACAAAACUUGGGAAUGGGUGUGGCACCGACUAGCAUCCCUAUAUUAUCUUAAAGGAUACUGGGAGGCUACAUAGGAUUGGUCCUGCUCAACUCUGGUUACGUAGGUACAUGGUAAAUGCCCCCAUCCCCUCCCCAGGGGUUACACAGAUAUGGUUCAGUUUUGCCGGUGGAUCCUUGUUUUGGUCAGAUUCAUUUUGUAACCCCUGUCCCCAUAUGUGUAUUUGUAUGUGGUGUACAUGUGUUUGUGUGGGUAUGUGUAUAUUCAUGGAGACCAUGUGUCAACAUGGGUGCUGUGGGUCUGUGUGAACAACAUGAGAUAGAUUGAGCCACCUUCCUAGCCUUGGAGUUCCUACUUUAGUGAUGUAGAAUAAGUCUAUAGGAUUGCUAGUAAGACAACCACAAUUUUGCAUUACAGCGUUGACCUCUCCAGAAUCAGCCAAUAUAUCUUUAAAGUAAUUUUCUUGUGUUUCUGCUUCAGCGUCUGCUUUUGUUACUUACAAAUUUUGUCACUGUUUCAUAGGAUGACCCUCUGUACAGAAAUGGGUUUUCAUUUGAUAAAGGAUUCUGUAUUAAAAUGAUUUUAAUACAAAAGGUGUGACACGCUUUGUUGUCCUUUCGCCGUCAGAUGACUUGCUUCUGAAAGGAAGCUUUCAGGGUGAAGGGGAGAAGCCCCGUCCUGGUCUCCUUCCAGGCCGUCCGUGCAGGCUGCCUUCCAGUCACUGUGCACACUUCGACCUAGACACCUGGCUGUGGGAACGCAAGCUCUGUCUGUGAUGCCCUGCAGGCUCGUUUGGGAUGGCCAGGGACUAGGAGUGAGAAUUGCAAGUUCAGUUUGUUCUGACACCUAUCAUUCUUGUAGUGUUUGUCUCUUGUGGUAAAUACUAUGCAGAGAGGUGCAAGGCUUCCUAUGUAGGCCUGGAGUCCCUUCAUGCCUCACCGGGACGGUCCCCAGCUCCCACUCAUUCAGAAUGAGUGUCCCCAGCACCCAGAAGCUGCUCGCACUGAAAACUCUUCCACUAAACUUCAUCUUGAGGGGAGGGGUGAGUGAAGGGGCUUGUAUUUAUGUCAGUGCUGGACAGAUAGAGGGCAUAUGCAUAGUCAGUAUAUGUUGGGUUUCAUCCUGUGCACAGGUGGCCCUCCCUGCUCCAGAGGCCAGCUGUCUGAGUGGAGCUACCUCAGUCGCUUACUGAGGCAGCCGAGGCAGGACUGUUGUUCCUUCUUAGCCCAGGCCCAAAUACCUUAGAGUUGUAGAUCCUUUGGGACAUGUUUUGUUUGCUUGCUUUGAUUUCUGGGGUAUCAUUGUAGUUCUUUGAUUUGAAAUAGUACAGAAAAGGAGUAAGUUUUUGUAUGUGCCAUUGGGGAGAAGGUUUACCAUACAGCUGGAGGUGGCUUAGAACAUAGAAUGAAGUAGUUAAUAGAUUACCUUUCCUAAAGAAACGAUAGCAUGUGUGUUCCUUCCCACAAGUAGUCUUUUCUUACAGUGUCACAUUUAAUGGACUAGGAACAGAAGGAACCUUAGCAGUGAUACUCAAGUCCUGCACACGUGUGGCAUGGUAGGGAAAGUAAGUGCUCUGUCAAUUCUACUCAUCUUUCUUC
rnacentral:lncRNA from 1 species